UUAGAAGCCAGUCAUGGGGUCUGCCUUCACUCAAGGAAAGAGAGUUCUAUAAAUGCAUGAAUUCCAGCGGUGAAGUUCAUGGAACAGACACUGUGGCUCCUGUCUGCCGCAUGUGUUUUCAUUUUUCUUAAUACCUAAAACGAGUGUGCAAGAAGUAUGUUGUAAUUGAAGUGGCGUACUGCCUGCCACCCAAGAGGUUGCUCUGUAAGUGAAAUGUGUCUCCAUUUCUCUGGAAAAAAAUUCCCAAGGGGACAACUGCUGAGUCAAAUGGAAGCCUGCCUAGACUGCCUUCAUCUUUUCUCAUUGGCCAGCUCAGAGAUAAUUCUUGGAAGAUUUUCAUGUAGCAGCUUUAGAGGAAGGGAGCUGAGUCAAAACCCACCAGCAUGGUCCCGUCUGAAUGGGAAAGAAGGUCAGCUGUUGAAUCCUACUAAAAGAACCUACUGA
rnacentral:lncRNA from 1 species